GUGCCAGCCGCCGCGGUAAAACGUAGGAGACGAGCGUUAUCCGGAUUUACUGGGCGUAAAGCGCGUGCAGGCGGCAUGGCAAGUUGGAUGUGAAAGCUCCCGGCUUAACUGGGAGAGGUCGUUCAAUACUGCCAGGCUUGAGAGUGGUAGAGGGAAGCGGAAUUCCGGGUGUAGUGGUGAAAUGCGUAGAUAUCCGGAGGAACACCAGUGGCGAAAGCGGCUUCCUGGCCCAUUUCUGACGCUCAGCCGCGAAAGCUAGGGUAGCAACCGGGAUUAGAGACCCCGGUAGUCCUAGCCGUAAACGAUGUGAACUUGGCGUUGGCGGGUUUAAAUCCGUCAGUGCCGUAGCUAACGCGAUAAGUUCACCGCCUGGGGACUACGGCCGCAAGGUUAAAACUCAAAGGAAUUGACGG
rnacentral:rRNA from 1 species